AUUGAACGCUGGCGGCAGGCCUAACACAUGCAAGUCGAGCGGAUGAAGGGAGCUUGCUCCUGGAUUCAGCGGCGGACGGGUGAGUAAUGCCUAGGAAUCUGCCUGGUAGUGGGGGAUAACGUCCGGAAACGGGCGCUAAUACCGCAUACGUCCUGAGGGAGCAAGUGGGGGAUCUUCGGACCUCACGCUAUCAGAUGAGCCUAGGUCGGAUUAGCUAGUUGGUGGGGUAAAGGCCUACCAAGGCGACGAUGGGUAACUGGCCUGAGAGGGUGAUCGGUCACAUUGGGACUGAGAUACGGCCCAGACUCGUACGGGAGGCAGCAGUGGGGAAUAUUGCAUAAUGGGCGGAAGACUGAUGCAGCAACGCCGAGUGCGGGAUGACGGCCUUCGGGUUGUAAACCGCUUUCGCCUGUGACGAAGCGUGAGUGACGGUAAUGGGUAAAGAAGCACCGGCUAACUACGUG
rnacentral:rRNA from 1 species